rnacentral:rRNA from 1 species
GAUGAACGCUAGCGGCAGGCCUAAUACAUGCAAGUCGAACGGUAACAUAGUCUUCGGACUGAUGACGAGUGGCGCACGGGUGCGUAACGCGUAUGCAACCUACCCUUAACAGGGGGAUAGCCCGAAGAAAUUCGGAUUAAUACCCCAUAGUAUCACCAGAUGGCAUCUGAAGGUGAUUAAAGAUUUAUCGGUUAAGGAUGGGCAUGCGUGACAUUAGCUAGUUGGUAAGGUAACGGCUUACCAAGGCAACGAUGUCUAGGGGUUCUGAGAGGAUGAUCCCCCACACUGGUACUGAGAUACGGACCAG